AUUGAACGCUGGCGGUAUGCUUAAGACAUGCAAGUCGAACGGUAACAGGUUAAGCUGACGAGUGGCGGACGAGUGAGUAACGCGUGGGAAUCUACCUUGUAGUGGGGGAUAAGCCAGGGAAACUUGGACUAAUACCGCAUACGCCCUAAGGGGGAAAGGCGCAAGUCGCUAUAAGAUGAGCCCGCGUCUGAUUAGGUAGUUGGUGGGGUAAAGGCCUACCAAGCCGACGAUCAGUAGCUGGUCUGAGAGGAUGAUCAGCCACGUCGGGACUGAGACACGGCCCGGACUCCUACGGGAGGCAGCAGUCGGGAAUAUUGGACAAUGGGGGAAACCCUGAUCCAGCAAUACCGCGUGUGUGAAGAAGGCCUGCGGGUUGUAAAGCACUUUUCAGUUGGGAAGAUAAUGACGUUACCAACAGAAGAAGCACCGGCUAACUCCGUGCCAGCAGCCGCGGUAAGGCGUAUGUGU
rnacentral:rRNA from 1 species